rnacentral:rRNA from 1 species
AACGAACGCUGGCGGCAUGCCUAACACAUGCAAGUCGAACGAGACCUUCGGGUCUAGUGGCGCACGGGUGCGUAACGCGUGGGAACCUGCCCUUAGGUUCGGAAUAACUCCCCGAAAGGGGUGCUAAUACCGGAUAAUGUCUUCGGACCAAAGAUUUAUCGCCUUUGGAUGGGCCCGCGUUGGAUUAGCUAGUUGGUAGGGUAAAAGCCUACCAAGGCGACGAUCCAUAGCUGGUCUGAGAGGAUGAACAGCCACACUGGGACUGGGACACGGCCCAGACGGCUGGGGGCGGGAGGAGAGGGGAAAAUUGGGCCGGGGGCCAGAGCCUGCCCCGGCGCGGGCGGGGUAGUGGUGAAGGGCCUGGGGUUGUAAAGCUCUUUUGCCGGGGAGUGAAAGACAGGAACGGGGAAAGAAGGCCCGGGCAAACUCGGG